GACGAACGCUGGCGGCGUGCUUAACACAUGCAAGUCGAACGGAAAGGCCCUGCUUUUGUGGGGUGCUCGAGUGGCGAACGGGUGAGUAACACGUGAGUAACCUGCCCUUGACUUUGGGAUAACUUCAGGAAACUGGGGCUAAUACCGGAUAGGAGCUCCUGCUGCAUGGUGGGGGUUGGAAAGUUUCGGCGGUUGGGGAUGGACUCGCGGCUUAUCAGCUUGUUGGUGGGGUAGUGGCUUGCCAAGGCUUUGACGGGUAGCCGGCCUGAGAGGGUGACCGGGCACAUUGGGACUGAGGUACGGCCCAGAAUGCAACGGGAGGCAGCGGUGGAAAGUAUUGCACAAUGGGCGGGAGCCUGAUACAGCAACGCCGCGUGCGGGAUAACGGCCUUCGGGUUGUAAACCGCUUUCGACUGUGACGAAGCGUGAGUGACGGUAAUGGGUAAAGAAGCACCGGCUAACUACGUG
rnacentral:rRNA from 1 species